rnacentral:rRNA from 1 species
AGUAAUCUGUGAUGCCGCGUGAGCCGGCGGCAGGUGAAGGGUAUGUGUUGGAUUCGCCGUAGAGGACGAUCCUGGGUCAGGAUGGACGCUAGCGUAGGCUUAACGCAUGGAAGUCGAGGGGGGCAGAUCGAAAGCUUGCUUUUGAUGCUGGCGACCGGCGCACGGGUGAGUAACGCGUAUCCAACCUUCCCUAUAGUAGAGGAUAGCCCGGCGAAAGUCGGAUUAAUACUCUAUGUUUUCCAAUGCAGACAUCUAAGUUGGAACAAAGGUUCACCGCUAUAGGAUGGGGAUGCGUCUGAUUAGGUAGUCGGCGGGGUAACGGCCCACCGAGCCAACGAUCAGUAGGGGUUCUGAGAGGAAGGUCCCCCACAUUGGAACUGAGACACGGUCCAAACUCCUACGGGAGGCAGCAGUGAGGAAUAUUGGUCAAUGGGCGAGAGCCUGAACCAGCCAAGUAGCGUGCAGGAUGACGGCCCUAUGGGUUGUAAACUGCUUUUAUACGGGGAUAAAGUGAGGGACGUGUCCCUUAUUGUAGGUACCGUAUGAAUAAGGACCGGCUAAUUCCGUGCCAGCAGCCGCGGUAAUACGGAAGGUCCGGGCGUUAUCCGGAUUUAUUGGGUUUAAAGGGAGCGCAGGCCGACUGGUAAGCGUGACGUGAAAUGUAGCCGCUCAACGGCUGAACUGCGUCGCGAACUGGUAGUCUUGAGUGAGUUCGAUGUUGGCGGAAUUCGUGGUGUAGCGGUGAAAUGCUUAGAUAUCACGAAGAACUCCGAUUGCGAAGGCAGCCAACAAGGCCUUUACUGACGCUAAAGCUCGAAGGUGCGGGUAUCGAACAGGAUUAGAUACCCUGGUAGUCCGCACGGUAAACGAUGGAUGCCCGCUGUUUGCGAUAUACUGUGAGCGGCCAAGAGAAAUCGUUAAGCAUCCCACCUGGGGAGUACGCCGGCAACGGUGAAACUCAAAGGAAUUGACGG